rnacentral:rRNA from 1 species
AGAGUUUGAUCCUGGCUCAGGAUGAACGCUGGCUGUGUGCCUAAUACAUGCAUGUCGAGCGAAGGUAGCAAUACCUUAGCGGCGAAUGGGUGAGUAACACGUACUCAACGUACCCUUCAGUUUGGGAUAGCGGGUGGAAACAUCCGAUAAUACCAAAUACUUAUUGUUUUCGCAUGAAAAUAAUAGAAAAGGAUCGAUUGCUUCGCUGGAGGAUCGGGGUGCGCAACAUUAGCUAGUUGGUGAGGUAACGGCCCACCAAGGCGAUGAUGUUUAGCGGGGUUGAGAGACUGAACCGCCACACUGGGACUGAGAUACGGCCCAGACUCCUACGGGAGGCAGCAGUAGGGAAUUUUCCACAAUGAGCGAAAGCUUGAUGGAGCGACACAGCGUGCAGGAUGAAGGCCCUAUGGGUUGUAAACUGCUGUGGUAAGUGAAGAAAAAGUAGUGUAGGAAAUGACAUUACCUUGACGGUAGCUUAUUAGAAAGCAACGGCUAACUAUGUGCCAGCAGCCGCGGUAAUACAUAGGUUGCAAGCGUUAUCCGGAAUUAUUGGGCGUAAAGCGUCUGUAGGUUGUUUGUUAAGUCUGGCGUUAAAUUUUGGGGCUCAACCCCAAACCGCGUUGGAUACUGGCAAGCUAGAGUUAUGUAGAGGUUAGCGGAAUUCCUUGUGAAGCGGUGAAAUGCGUAGAUAUAAGGAAGAACACCAAAAUGGCGAAGGCAGCUAACUGGGCAUACACUGACACUGAGAGACGAAAGCGUGGGGAGCAAACAGGAUUAGAUACCCUGGUAGUCCACGCCCUAAACGAUGAUCAUUAGCUGAUGGGGAACUCAUCGGCGCAGCUAACGCAUUAAAUGAUCCGCCUGAGUAGUACGUUCGCAAGAAUAAAACUUAAAGGAAUUGACGGGGAUCCGCACAAGCGGUGGAGCAUGUGGUUUAAUUUGAAGAUACGCGUAGAACCUUACCCACUCUUGACAUCUUCUGCAAAGCUAUGGAGACAUAGUGGAGGUUAACAGAAUGACAGAUGGUGCAUGGUUGUCGUCAGCUCGUGUCGUGAGAUGUUCGGUUAAGUCCUGCAACGAGCGCAACCCUUGUCCUUAGUUACUAACAUUAAGUUGAGCACUCUAAGGAGACUGCCCGAGUAAUUGGGAGGAAGGUGGGGAUGACGUCAAAUCAUCAUGCCUCUUACGAGUGGGGCAACACACGUGCUACAAUGGCCGAUACAAAGAGAAGCAAGAUGGUGACAUGGAGCAAACCUCAAAAAGUCGGUCUCAGUUCGGAUUGAAGUCUGCAACUCGACUUCAUGAAGUCGGAAUCGCUAGUAAUCGUAGAUCAGCUACGCUACGGUGAAUACGUUCUCGGGUCUUGUACACACCGCCCGUCAAACCAUGGGAGCUGGUAAUGCCCGAAGUCGGUUUAUAAACAAACUGCCUAAGGCAGGACUGGUGACUGGGGUUAAGUCGUAACAAGGUAUCCCUACGAGAACGUGGGGAUG